rnacentral:rRNA from 1 species
GGCGGCCGCGGGAAUUCGAUUAGAGUUUGAUCAUGGCUCAGAUUGAACGCUGGCGGCAGGCCUAACACAUGCAAGUCGAGCGGCAGCGGGGGGAAGCUUGCUUCCCUGCCGGCGAGCGGCGGACGGGUGAGUAAUGUCUGGGGAUCUGCCCGAUGGAGGGGGAUAACCACUGGAAACGGUGGCUAAUACCGCAUAACCUCUUUGGAGUAAAGUGGGGGACCUUCGGGCCUCACGCCAUCGGAUGAACCCAGAUGGGAUUAGCUAGUAGGUGGGGUAAUGGCUCACCUAGGCGACGAUCCCUAGCUGGUCUGAGAGGAUGACCAGCCACACUGGGACUGAGACACGGCCCAGACUCCUACGGGAGGCAGCAGUGGGGAAUAUCGCACAAUGGGCGCAAGCCUGAUGCAGCCAUGCCGCGUGUAUGAAGAAGGCCUUCGGGUUGUAAAGUACUUUCAGCGGGGAGGAAGGCAACAGCGUGAAUAGCGCUGUUGAUUGACGUUACCCGCAGAAGAAGCACCGGCUAACUCCGUGCCAGCAGCCGCGGUAACACGAAUCACUAGUGAAUUCGCGGCCGCCUGCAGGUCGACCAUAUGGGAGAGCUCCCAA